rnacentral:lncRNA from 1 species
AUGGUAACUUCCUCUGAGGUUACGGUGAGCAGGGCAGGAAUUGAUCAGCGUAAAGCACUCAGAAGAGGGCCGCACAGAGGAAGUGCACGCUCAGUGCUGGGCCGUGGAGUUUGCGAUGUCACCCCGGCGGCCGGUGGGGGCGGGCCUCCGUGUGCAGUGGGGUUUCAGGGCACGGAGAGUGUGAGGGAGGAACGGCGUCCAUUGAGCACCCACUCUGUGGCCUGCACCUCUGUGGCAGUUGGCAAUCUGCAUCUGGCCCUCAGGACCACCCGGCAAGGCCCUGCGUCUUCCCAGGU